rnacentral:rRNA from 1 species
GAUGAACGCUAGCUACAGGCUUAACACAUGCAAGUCGAGGGGCAUCAGGAACAUAGCUUGCUAUGUUUGCUAGCGACCGGCGCACGGGUGCGUAACACGUAUCCAAUCUGCCCGUUACUCGUGGAUAGCCUUUCGAAAGAAAGAUUAAUACCCGAUAGUAUUAUUAAGAGGCAUCUUUUUUUAGUUAAAGAUUUAUCGGUAACGGAUGAGGAUGCGUAUGAUUAGUGAGUUGGCGGGGUAACGGCCCACCAAGACUACGAUCAUUAGGGGUUCUGAGAGGAAGGUCCCCCACACUGGAACUGAGACACGGUCCAGACUCCUACGGGAGGCAGCAGUGAGGAAUAUUGGUCAAUGGACGAGAGUCUGAACCAGCCAAGUAGCGUGAAGGAUGACUGCCCUAUGGGUUGUAAACUUCUUUUGUUUGGGAAUAAAGUUAGGUACGUGUACCUAUUUGUAUGUACCAUUCGAAUAAGCAUCGGCUAAUUCCGUGCCAGCAGCCGCAGUAAUAC